rnacentral:rRNA from 1 species
AUACGUAGGGGGCAAGCGUUAUCCGGAUUUACUGGGUGUAAAGGGAGCGUAGACGGAAGGUCAAGUCAGGUGUGAAAGGCAUGGGCUCAACUCAUGGACUGCACUUGAAACUGGUCAUCUUGAGUGUCGGAGGGGCAGGCGGAAUUCCUGGUGGAGCGGUGAAAUGCGUAGAUAUCAGGAAGAACACCGGUGGCGAAGGCGGCCUGCUGGACGAUUACUGACGUUGAGGCUCGAAGGCGUGGGGAGCAAACAGGAUUAGAUACCCUGGUAGUCCACGCAGUAAACGAUGAAUACUAGGUGCUGGUGACCACAGGUCAUCGGUGCCGCCGCUAACGCAUUAAGUAUUCCACCUGGGGAGUACGUUCGCAAGAAUGAAACUCAAAGGAAUUGACGGGG